rnacentral:rRNA from 1 species
AAUAGAUACCCUGGUAGUCCAUGCCCGUAAACGAUGUCUACUAGCCGUUGGGGCCCGUUGAGGGCUUUAGUGGCGCAGCUAACGCGAUAAGUAGACCGCCUGGGGAGUACGGUCGCAAGACUAAAACUCAAAUGAAUUGACGGGGGGCCCGCACAAGCGGUGGAGCAUGUGGUUUAAUUCGAUGCAACGCGAAGAACCUUACCUGGCCUUGACAUACAGAGAACUUUCCAGAGAUGGAUUGGUGCCUUCGGGAACUCUGAUACAGGUGCUGCAUGGCUGUCGUCAGCUCGUGUCGUGAGAUGUUGGGUUAAGUCCCGCAACGAGCGCAACCCUUUUCCUUAUUUGCCAGCACUUCGGGGUGGGAACUUUAAGGAUACUGCCAGUGACAAACUGGAGGAAGGCGGGGACGACGUCAAGUCAUCAUGGCCCUUACGGCCAGGGCUACACACGUGCUACAAUGGUCGGUACAAAGGGUUGCUACUGCGCGAGCAGAUGCUAAUCUCAAAAAGCCGAUCGUAGUCCGGAUCGC